GCUCUUUUCCUGAACACUUUUCUAGCAAGGAGGAUCCAGAUGUGCUUUCUGGGGAUACGUUUCCCCUGGCUGCAUCUUCCCAUCCACAUACACUUCAUGAAUGAUGGGUUUUGCUUGAUGUGAAGGCUGUUGACCAUGCAAGGGUGUGCUGUGCUGAGCUGAGCAGAGGUCCAAGCUGCUAGCUUGCCUGCUGAGACCGCACCACUGAGCUGGGCCUCAUUACUGUUCAUCUGUUGGACAGUGUGGAUAAAAUAUUUCAGUGAAACGUACUCAGCAGGCAAGGGAUUGCCUUCAUCACUGUAAUGUUAUUUCCAAUAUUAUAUUUCAUCAGUUCAAUAUAACAUGUAGGUACAAAAGGCCUACAUUUGUAGUUUUCUGGAUGUGUGACUUUUGAGGAGGUAUAUUGUAGUGUUUUUUUUAAUAUUAUCACCUUGGGGAAGCAAUUUAAAAAUACAAAAAUAAUAGAGAUUGUGUGUGUUUGGGUAAAGCUCUGGCUGUGUCUGUGUGAAAUUUGUAUGUUCUCCCCAUGUUUCCAUGGGUUUCCUCUAGGUCCUUCGGUUCCCUCCCACAAUCCAAAGAUGUGGAGUUUUUUAACGUCUCCGAAUUUCUGACCUUCACUUCAUCUGUGUAUGAAUGUGUGAGUGUCCUGAGAUAGACUGGGGUCAACUGACUCAAAGGCUUCCUCCCCAACCCUGUGUAUGUCUCAACCAUGGUACUCUGCAAACAUUGACAUUGACAGGGCUGGGGUCCAGCUUUGAAUCUAGAACUCAGGAGAUAAGGU
rnacentral:lncRNA from 1 species